GGAUGGGAGGGCAAUCUGCCUGACAUCACCCCACUGAUCAGCAGGGUUGAUUAGGCUGACAAUUGGACACCCACCUAGCCAGCCAGAUGAACCCUUCUUCCCUCACCAUUCCAUGUGUCCUUCCCAAAGCCAGGACCCUUCUCCUGGAGGUAUGCAAGUAGCUGCUUUCUCCUACUGGAACCUACAAACAAACUCUCAAGAAAGCACUACAAGGCAAAUAAACUCAAAUACAGUAGAUCCUCUUCAUUUGAGGGGGAUAUGUU
ensembl:misc_RNA 7SK 7SK RNA